GACGACUCAGUGUCACUGAAAGAACAAGAUUUGGUAAUGCUGGUGUUGGACUCGGGUGUACAAAGUUAAAAAUCACACAACACCAGUGGUGAGGAUGAGGAGCUGAUCAUUCUGACCAAGAGGCAAACUCCAAUGGAGCAGCACAUUACCAAGAUGGGAAGCAUGGACACUGUGAGUAACCGUGAUACCCUGUCAGUCUGUAGCAGAACAACAAAGCUUGAAUAGUGGUGAUGACUGGGAAGGUAAAAAGUGUCCCUAGUAGUGAGCACACGGGGCUAGAGAUAGGUUUCUGGGCCUAUUGGGCAGUGUUGGAACAGUAAAAGUGGCUGGGAGGGUAGAGGAGUCCUGGUAGAGAGCACACCCUAAUGAACCAACAUUCCCAGCCGACGUACUGACAAGUAAUGGUGGCCAGGAGGGUAGGGAAAUUGUACUGGUAGAGAGCACGUCUUGCUUGGAGGCAGCUGCGGCCGUACGGACAGUGCUGGGACAAUAUUAGUGGCCGGGGGUAGAGAUGUCCCACUGGUCAAGGACACUUUACCGGGGGUACACAAUCUGCAAGAUGGCAGAUCAGGAUUUUAAAGGGGGUACUGCAGGUUCCCUUAUUGAGAAAUACAAGACAGAAACACUAGCGCUGACCAAACAGAUGAAGAAAGGGGGUUGGGACUCAUCGCAGACAUUAGUACAGCAUCGGAAUUGGAUUGACAAACAGAAAUAAAAUAAAACUAAAAAAGAUGGGGUUUGGUAAAGGAUACCUUACUAGACACAGCCGAGGAGACACUCUUCAUGGAAAUAUGGUCAUGAAAAUUUAUAGUGGGGUCGCCCCGCACCUGGUGGGCCAUGGUAAACAAUAAACAUGAGACUGUUAUGUCAGGAAGGAUUGACGGAAGUCAGUCGCACAAGUAGCAGAGAUAGUAGCGCUAACCAAAGCAUUUGAGCUGUCAAAGAGGAAAAUUGUGAAUAGUUACACAGACAGCCAAUAUGCCUUUGGAGUUGUACAUGACUACGUGGUUGCACGGGGGAAGAAGAAGGUUCACCACCGCUGGGGGAACUCCCAUUAAAAGCCAGUUAAGAAUCUAAACACUGCUGAGCACCAGCAAACUGCCAAAAGAGGCUGCAGUAAUAAAAAUCAAAGGGCACCAAAAGGAGCCAGGGAAAGCUAGUCCAGGCUGGCUGAAAUUUAAAGGGAACCAAGCACAGACCGAGCAGCCCAGCCAGCCUUAGAGCAGGAAACCGUUGAUGAGUUUCCAAUAGCAACAGUAGAACUAGCGGAAGAUGCUAUUCACAUAUAGCAGCUGCAGGAGGACAACCCGCAGGCAGAGAGACAGUGUGAAGGAGAAUGCAAGAAGCACUUAAAGGGGAGGACAGUGUCUGAAGGCAAGUGGACAAGGUGGUAGCACCAGCGUGCAUACAGAACACCUUGCUUGAGCUGCACCACGGACUCUCACAUGCAGGCAGAGAAGCUAUGAAAGCAAGAGUGGUGGUGGAAGGGAAUGGGAAGAGAUAUAGCCAAACAUUGCCACAACCUGGAUAGACCCAUAUGAGUUAGGAUGGGACAUGAACCAAGGCCACGAGGACCCUGGGAACACCUCCAAAUGGAUUUCACAGGGCCACUACCACCUUUCCGUGGGAAAACGUACUGCCUGGUCAUCAUAGACCAGUUCACCCGGUGGGUAGAGGCAUUCCCCAAUAAAAACUGUACCGCUACCACUGUAGCCAGAAUUUCAGCAGAUGAGGUAAUCCCGAGUACCCUUACAGAUUAACUUUGAUCAAGGGACACAUUUCACAGGCAAAGUUAUGAAAACAGUAUGCCAGCUUUUAUAAGGGAUAUAAAAAUUUCAUAUCCCUUAUCACACCCAGAUGGUAGACAGAAUGAACAGUACCCUUUAAAAAUGCUUUAGCUAAGGCCAUACAGACAUCAGGGAGGACAUGGGCCGAAGUGCUGCCAGCCAUGCUCAUGAAAUUAAGAGCCACCACGAAUCAGGCAACUGGACUAACACCCUACAAAUUAAUGACUGGGUGAGCAAUGCAAUUACUAGAGACUAUUAUAACGGGUGGGACCAAAGUAGGUCCGCUAAAAGACAAAAUUCGGAGAUAUGUACUGGAAUUAAGCACCCAACUAAAAGGGAUGUGUAAAUUGGUAACUGAGAAACAAGAGCAAAAGGACAAGGCAGGUGUACUUGAAACUUUCCCUGAGGUCCCAGCAGCUGGGAGCUGCAUCCUUGUACAAACCCUGCCUGACAAACCAGGCUUUGCCCCAAAGUGGAAUAUGUUGUACCAAGUUACAAUCAGUGGUAACACCUGCAGAAAAGGAGAAAGGCAUGUGGAAGCACUGGACCCAACCCAAACCAUAUAAGGACUCCUAUAAAUGAACUAGUAUGAUUGACCAUCCCCUGGGCACAGACAGGAACAGGAAGGGAUAGCACUGAGACCACAACCAAGCAAACCACUCAGAUAAAACUCUGCUGACAAGAUAUAGAAAUCACCUACUGUUGCCGACCUCCAGGUACAAUUGUAAAAAAAGCACACUGACUAUUAACCUCAUUUAACUUUAAGUAUGUACACACUUGAGUAUAUAUUACUGUUUCUAAAUGUAGCAAUAGUGGGAAGCCUGUCGGGAUUUGAGGAUAACCUCUUUUACAAAACCCACCUAAGUCUACAUGGGAACCGAACUGUCUGUACUCACUGGCGCGAUCGGUCGAAUCUUAUUUGUGGCCGCCCCUGUGUGGAUCUCUCGCAACUUGUACAAAAUAGAUACCUCGGGUGCGCCAUGUAAGAGACAACUAGGAAAAUACAAAAGGGGACCCCAGGGUACGUGUGUGGAAUUGGUCAAGCCCACUGGCCCAUGGGGCAGGGCGCCUCAACAGGUGGAGGGAAGUAUCUAUGUAAACAUUGCUGAUUAUCCACUCCGUUUCACAGGCAGGUAUGGGGAUGUGUUUAUGCCCUGGUACCUAGAAACAGUUCAUGCAUG